rnacentral:rRNA from 1 species
UACGGGGGGGGCAAGCGUUGUUCGGAAUUACUGGGCGUAAAGGGCUCGUAGGUGGCCAACUAAGUCAGACGUGAAAUCCCUCAGCUUAACUGGGGAACUGCGUCUGAUACUGGAUGGCUUGAGUUUGGGAGAGGGAUGCGGAAUUCCAGGUGUAGCGGUGAAAUGCGCAGAUAUCAGGAGGAACACCGAUGGCGAAGGCAGGUCUCUGGGCCGAUACUGACGCUGAGGAGCGAAAGCGUGGGGAGCGAACAGG